AUGAGACUUUGGACCAUGAACUUUUGAGUUAAUGCUGAACAGCUCCACCUUGCAGAGAUGCUGUCAAAUAUGCACAAGCUCUUAUAUUAUCAGUGUCUUCCCAAGAUGAAGCCAAGUCCUGAUGAGCUGAAGCUAAGAGUUCUUUUCAUCUUGACAUACUGGCAGCCAGCUAACCCAACCAUGGCCCUAUUUUCUCCAACCAUUACUAAACAUGUGGAUGUGAUGGUGGAGCUGGAAUAGCUGUGACUUGGGGAAUGGAGGCCACAAAUGGCACAGCAACAGGAAGAAAGAAGCCUUGAUCUUUGAUAAUUCUGGAUGCUGGGAAGUGUAAGAUCAAGAUGGUGGCAGGUUCGACUGGUGAGAGUUGCAUUCUCCAGAUGGAAGAAACAUUGUGUCCUCAUCUGGUGGAAGGUGGAAGGGUAAGCUACCAAGCACUCUGCAAAGAUCCUUUAAAAGGGUCUUAAUCCCAUUCAUGAGGGACGAACCCUCAUGACCUAAUCACCUCUUACAGACUCUACCUCUUAAUACUUUCACAUUGGCAACACCUGAUUUUGGAGGUAAUAUAUUCAAACCCAUAGCAACAAGUAUGCAAAAUAGAAAUCAAGUAUAUACAGAUUUUACUUUGUCUAUUAAAGUGUGAGAAAAACAAUAUGAAUGCUCAACAAUCAGUUACUGGUUAACUAUAUUAUGGUCUCUACAAGUAGUGAAAUAUUAUAUAGUUUUAAAAAUAUAUAUCUAUAUUUUUUAACAUGAAAUAAUGUCCAUGACACAUUACUGAGUGCAAGAAAAGCAGUUUGCAAAUGUUCCAUUAGAUCUGAUUUUUAUUUUUUCAAAAGGAAGUUACUAUAGGUGCAUACUUAUCUAGACAGAGCCUGCUAAUUAUAUACAUCAAAAUAGUAAGAGUGGAAUAUCCUCUACCCCUUUUUUUCUUUUCCCCUCCUGAAUAAUUCAGUCCAAAACCCAUUAGGCAGGGUGUCUAUAAAGGUAAGGAAAUGACACCAGACAGUAGUUGCAAUCCCUCCACAAUUCUCACUUCCAAAGCAAACAAAACAAAACAAAACAAACAACAACAUUCUUGACUAGUACUUCUUAUUUUUCCAGGCUUAUUUAUCCUGGUUCCCUGAUCCUCAAAAUUUUUGUGAUGUAUAAUCCAGUGAUUGUUCUGCCUGACAUCUCUGCCUCUCCCAAAUAUUCUUCUUUCCUUUCUUAUUAGCCUAAAUUCCAUCACUUUCUAACAUACACCCUCAGCUUCCUCUUCUCUCCCUUUCUAAGCAAUCAUUCUGUUUUCUUGGGAAAUACUAGCAAAAAGCAAUCCCUACGUUGGUAAGUUAUGUCAG
rnacentral:lncRNA from 1 species